UACGGAGGGUGCAAUCGUUGCUCGGAAUCAUUGGGCGUAAAGCGCACGUAGGCGGCCUGAUAAGUCGGGUGUGAAAGCCCUGGGCUCAACCCAGGAAGUGCACUCGAAACUGUCAGGCUUGAAUAUGGAAGAGGGUCGCGGAAUUCCCGGUGUAGAGGUGAAAUUCGUAGAUAUCGGGAGGAACACCAGUGGCGAAGGCGGCGACCUGGGCCAAUAUUGACGCUGAGGUGCGAAAGCGUGGGGAGCAAACAGG
rnacentral:rRNA from 1 species